AUUUUGAGUCCCCUUCCUCAUCACUAAUGGAAUUCCUGCUAAACUCAAUUACUCCCACCCAAAGCUGAAUUAAUUUCCCUCUGUCACAAAGAUGGCAAAAUGCAUUCACUGAAUCCCAGAGACUCAGGAAUGACUGUUGCUUGAAGAAAAUGUUCCUGGAUUUUCUUAAAUGUGAUACUUUCUUGGCACCUGGAAAUGAUGACCUCCUGCAAUGACACUGUCAGAGGAUGGGUCUGGGGAGCAGCUCUGCAGUGCAGCCCUGAGGUCACAGCGGGCAAUCAGCUCAACACCACUGAGGUUAUACUGUGCUAAUGCAGUCCCUGUCACUCUGCAGAGUGGGCAGAAAGCUGCCUGCCUGAAUGGGGCAGCCAGCAGCAUUCCUCCAGACCUUGGGACGAGGGUGGGGUUUGAUCAGCCAAGGGAGAAAAAUGUCAACAUCUGUCUGUCACUGCACGGCCAAUGGCCAAUUAUAAUUUUUUUUCCUGCAUCCCUAAGCUGCAGCCAGACAAAGGCUCUGAGCUCCCAGCUUUGUUGCCCGUGCCAUUUCCCACCACCGCUCCACCUCUGAUAUGCUAAUGGCAAAACUGAACUGUUUUGUGUGGCUGAAAAGGAUCUUUGGGCACAUUCACUGGGUCAACAAUCCCAACUGCUGUGCUGGGGCUCAGCCUGCUGUGCCAGAACCUCGUGCCAGAGGACUUCCCUCCCCUCUGCUCCUCCUUUAAAAAAAAAAAACAACAAAACAUAUUGGAAUUAACCAUCUGGCUGUCUUGGUGCCCAGAAACUUAGCUGAGCAAUAAUAAUAUUAUAUACUCUCCUCAAAGACUUUUUGGAUGAUAAGUAGCAAGCCAGGCUGUGCUUUCCAGCUUGAAUUGCUGUCUCAGUAGAUGCAGCCUAGGAGGUGAGAGAAGUCCAUCUCCUCUGAGCUUCAGAGCAGCACAGAGCAGUGAGGUGGUUACAGAAAUACUGCUCUGUUUAUGCAGUCGGCUUUACAUGCGUUAGAGCAAAAGUAACACUGACAAACAGCCUUUUGUUUAGAAAAGAAACCCUGUCAUACAUGCAAUGCCAGACACAGAAAGCAAACUUGGUGACCUAAUCCUAUCUAUUGUGUGGCAAUACUAAUGCAUUUAAGUAGUAAGCAGAAGAAUCAUUACCGAGUUUAUUGGGUGAUGAGUUUCCCAUUCACUGAUGUUUUGGAAGUGCCAAGGGAAAUAGGCUGUAGCAUCAGAGACAAGGUGCUUGUAAGUCUGUGACAAAUUGAUCUUGAAGUAUUUAUAGUUUAGAAUUAGUCACCUGAACUAAGUGUGAAUGCUAUGAAUGUCAGUUCUUUUGCUGAUGCUGUAGUAAUACCAUCAUUGCUUUAUAAAAAAAUACUAGUGAGGUAGCAGGUUCUUGGUAAAAUUUGAAGUACUUUUACAAGUAAGCUAAUGUUUAUAAACACAGUAAUUAUGCCAUCAUUAUUUUAAAAAACUAUGAUAUGUACAAAUGUGUCAAUUUUCACUGCAAGCACCCUGUGAAAGUUGUUGGACGUAAGGCCCAAUGACAUGAAAUAAAAGCUAAAGAAAUUUAAAAGGUGGAUAAACAAAGCAGUCUGACAGUCUGAUGGCUUCCAGUUGACCCUGAGCAGAGACCUGGAUAAAGCUGGAUAAAUACUCCAGCCAAAAAAAAUGGUGAGAGUUGUAAGUGUUGUUUAUGAGACUACAAUUUAAUACAGUUUGCACGGUAAAUAGCGCUGUAAUAAAAGCUGACCUUUGCACAACUUGCAGGAUCUCCUUAAAACAUGCUUGCAAGCAGUGAGAGAAAUAGAUGGUGGACACAGAACCAACUCACAGUGAAUCCUCACACUUAAGUAUUCCCACACAGGAGAAUUAUCAAGAUGAACAUUUUCUUCUCAUUUUUAAAGAUGUUCAUAUGUGUCAGCUUUCCCCAUCAUGGUUGUGCUGGAAGGCGCUUAGGCAUCCUCAUCUGUGUCGUGGUCUUGCAGCUCUUUCUUGCCUAUUUACACUGGCUGCCAGCACUGUCCAUCCCCUGCAGAGUGUUCACCCAGACCCUGGGAAGUGCUGCUGGCGAUGGCUUCUGCUGCUUUCCAGGGAAGACUUUUAUAACAAGCAUGCACAGCAUGCAGGAGGAAGCAGAUGCAGGCUUGCUCUGCGCACUGCUCUCCAGUUCCCGGCAUAUGGUGGAUGGUUAAAAAAAAAUGGAUCUGAAUGGUGUGAAAAUCUAUUCAUCCUGUAUCACAGAGAAUAAAUUAUUUCUUUCUGGUCA